AUAGAGACAGCCAGAAAUCAAGAGGGAAGGGGGAGUUUUCUUGUUUUUUUUUUUUUUUAAGGUUCCAGUCUAUGGAAGAAAACUAUCUCUUUUAAGUAGAGAUAGUUACAUAUUUUUCCUUUCUAGGCUGUGAUUUUAAGGAUGUGUCAGUAUUGGGUAUAAGGAUAUCAUUGUUAGCUAGAUUCAGUUUUAUAAUCAUGAAUCCUCUUGAGUGCUAGUAGAGAUUUUAGUCCUGAUUUUCCCUAAAACAUGAGACCUGAUAAUUAUAGGUUUAGAGAAAGUGGAGAAGCCACCCUUUUUAAGGAAGAAACACUGGAAAUCUCUGCUAAUACAAAAAUAUUUAAGUGUGUAUAUAGAAGGUGCUCAACAAAUGUAUUGAGUUGAAUGAGUGGGAAAAUCGGGAGAGUCAAAAGUGAGCAGGAACUCUCCAUUUUUAAUUUUGUCAAAAAUCACACUCAGUUUUUAAAUAAGGUCUUUCUCAGCUUUGGGUUGCAAACUGGCAAGCCUGAAGAAAGCAACUUCUCUGACAAGAAAGUAGAUAUUUUAUACCAGAUGUUGGCAAGCCAAGUAGCCUGCAAACCGAGUUUGGCUCAUUUGGUCUUUUGUAUGGUGUAAUAGUGGUUUUUACAUAUUUUAAAGGGUUAUAAAAGAGACUAUAAGACCAUGUAACUUCUAAAACACAAAAUAUAAGUUCUUUUGGAGAAAAAAGUUUGCCAACCUCUGUUUUAUAUCAUUAACAAUGAGAUUAACAAUAAUGCUUACCUUUGUUUAGGAGGUAAAAACAAGUAUGGUUAAGGAAAAGAUGUUACCUAUAUACACAUAACCAUGACAUUGCAAAAAAAAAAAAUUUAAAAACCCACCUUUUUAAAAAAUAAACCUUAUUUAAAUUACUGA